AUGAAAUUGCAACGAAAUCUCACCUUUCAAAGAGGCAGUGUUGUCGAGGGAAAGGAUGUUGAGGAGGCAGAGCUGCUCGCGGGAGAGGAGGGUCGACGGUCUGCUGCUUCAGGCGCGUGUGAAGGAGGUGGACCCGCGGCUUGGUGCUCAGCGAAGCUUGCAGGGAGGCCUGCUCGGGGAGGAAACGCGCGAGUAGGAUGGUGGCGAGGAAGGCGUUCCAUGGAGGAUGGUAGCCGCUGGUGGAGUAGUUCGGCGAUGACUGUGGUGCUCGGCGGUGUCACUCUGGAGUGGGGCGACGCGGCAGUGAUUGGCAGCAUUGGGGUGGUUGUUGGGUGGCGGAGGGGGCGAGGGGCUGCCGUGAUGGGGGGCGAUGACGGCAGUGAUUUGGUUGGAGGGUGGUCGUGGGCGAUGGGCUGGUUGGGGGCGGCGGCGGCUUGUAGUCCGGUGGAUUUGUGGGCGGCAGAGGAGCUGCGGUGGUGGGGAGCUACACCGGCAGUGGUCUAUUCGAGUCGAAGGUGGCUACUCGUCGGCGAUGGGAAGGUCUGGGGGCGACAAGGGCGGGAGUGGCAAGGUUUGGGAGCGGCGGUGGAUCUGGUGGAGGACACGGUUGGGGAUUGGGCGUGA
rnacentral:rRNA from 1 species